GGUCUCACUUCUGAGGCCAGAGAGCUUGUCACUUUUAAGCAUCUCGAGUCAUAGAUCAAUUUCUCUUUGGUCUUUGGUCUCUCUUCUAUCUUCUUUUCUCUUCGUCCUGGGUGAACCUACUUUAGAGAAGUGGAUAGGGUCAUCCAAAUGGAGUAGGAAGAGCUUCCCAACUCGACCUCCUCUGGUCGCCAAGAAUCGAGGUAGCUUGCCAUAGUCUCCGAGCGGCCUUAUAACCAGCUCGAUUUAGACUCUGACCCAUUUACUCCUACUCACUCAACCCUUGUCGACCUACAAAAGAUCCAACUUUUGUAUGGGAUCUCUGAGGCUUACCGGUUUAGGCUCCCCACACCAAACGAGGCCCUGUGGCACCACAGUGAGAACAAGGUCUGCGUGUACAAGCAAGACUAUGAGGCAGGGUUGAGGUUCCCUCUCUCGUACAUGAUUACCGAUGUCCUGAAUUAUCUUAGGAUUAUUCUUGGGCAGCUCUCCGUGAAUGCAUUCGUAAUAGUUGUGGGGGCUGCCUUGGCUGGUCACGUGCACGGGCUCUUAAUCAACAUUAGGGUCUUCGAGAGCCUACACUCAGUCAAGUGUCACCCCGAGCAAAAGACACAUUACGAGCAGGCUCCCCCUUUGGGAGUUCUUCAAAUAGAAGAGGUGUCGAUGUCUGCAGCCCGUGGUACCCAAGUUCCCUAAGCUCACCCAUCUUCCAUAACGUCAGAAGGAGCUAGGUUCUUGACAGUUCGAGGUGAGGGGAACGUGUAUGUGCCCCCCGAGAAAACGCCGAUUUGAGACCACAAGUGGUCGGUGCAUCGCGACGGCAAUGUCCAUAACCACACGAUUACCUGCGAGCUGAGUUGGGGCUUUGUUCUGCCCACGUCUUGGGAAGAAUUUCAGGAACUUCCCUUAAAAGUCCUUGGCACCCAUAUCUUCAAGUAUAUAAUGAAGGCCAAUGCUAUUGCCCAGGGGAUCUUCCAACGAGCCAGUAGUCACCUGGAGCGGAUCAAGGGCAUUUCCCUAAUCAAAGAGGGGUACAUUGCCGAGGUCAAUAAAGCCCUUACGGAGAAGACCCCGACCUGUGGUCAUUGGGCAUCAGAUAGCCUUGAUGUAGGUGUCGAAGCAACAGGCCCAGAUCGAUGUGUAGCGAACCUGGAUCAGUGAGUAAAAUGCCUAGAUCAAGGAACGACAAACUUAGCUUGAGGAGUGUCAAGCUUGGAUUGAAGAACUUUUGGCCAAGCUAGAGAAGGAGAGAGACUAGAGGGCUAAGGAGACGAGGGCUCGGGAUGAGCUACUGGUUACAUCUUGAAAGGAGGCAAUUGACUCCUUCAAGGAAUCCCAAGAGUUCCUUGCCUAUGGACAAUAUGAGAAUAGUCUAACUUCAGAACACAUCCCCAUUAAAGGAACAUGAGAAUAGUGGUCCUCUAGAUUUGAAGUACAAACACACAUGACCUUAUGCGUACAGAUGUAUGUAGUCCUCUAAAUGUUAGUAUGCAUAACCAAUAUUCAUAUUUUAUAACAUUUAUUGAUGGUUAUUUUCGA